ensembl:lncRNA
CACUGCAAAGCGGAACUAUUGUUAGAUACGCAUGUUCUUUGGGGACACAUAAUAUGUGACGCGCGUCCUAUUCGCUUUGGACUAAUGUCAAACUAGACGCAAAUUUUAAGCAUUUCUUUGUUUGCGUUGAUUACAGUGCUGGAGUGUGUGUGUGCUCGCACGCGCGGUAGAGAGAGAAAGAUAUAGUGUGUUCACUGUAGCACAAGAGAGAUCGAGACAGAGAAGCAAUUUGUCCUCGAGUGUCACAAAUACAGUUCAGUAAGAGACCUUUACUUCAACUAAAUCACCAACGUUAUACUGUAUGCCACAGCCUGAGAGACAGCAGAAAUUCCCACCUUAGUGCAGUGUGUCAAGGAACUAAUAUCCUCAAUGAACAGAGGGAUCGAUACAGCAAGCACAAGCUCAGGGUCCUCCAGCUCAGCCCAAGAGAUGACACUGUCAUAUCUGAGUUUCCGGGCACGUCACAGUCCGAGGUUAGAGCCGUAAUACGGCGAAAGUGCAAUAACGAAAGUUUUGUUUCA